UCACACCGGAGUUUGGAGGAAGCAGAGAUUUCCUGUGGUUGGUAGGCUCAGAAAAAUCUUCAUGGAAGAGGCUACAUUUGAGACUGACUUUGAUGGGACCAACUUGACUUGAUGCCUGAGACUCAGGUGCUACUGGAAAUUGGGGGACCAGAACUCCCAUAGCAUGUGUAACCUGGUGCUCUCUGUGGAAAUGCCUCAGACCUGACAUUCCCAUGUUUUUCACCAUACCACCUACCACUCCUCCCUGCUGCUUUUUCUCUGAAUGUUGGAGUGCUCCAGAUGGUUCCCAUACACUCCUCAUGUCACUGAGAAAAUAGAUGGAACUAAUAAGAACAUUAGGCUCAGAGACCAAUAUGCAAAUAUUCACACAGGAUUAUGGACACAUAAUAAACCAUUCUGAUAACAUGGAAGACCAAAACCAGUCAAUCUAGAAUAAACUUCAUUGGCGAUAUACAACAAACCAGGCACUGUGAUAAGCACUGGGAAUACCAGUGGAAAGAUCAAACUUACUCCUUUCUGUUUUUGAAGUCAGCAUGUACUAAGUGGGGUUAUGGACAUUGGGGAGGGUAUGUGCUGUGGUGAGUGCUGUGAAGUGUGUAAACCUGGCAAUUCACAGACCUGUA